rnacentral:rRNA from 1 species
ACGCUCGACACCUACGGGAGGCAGCAGUGAGGAAUAUUGGUCAAUGGACGCAAGUCUGAACCAGCCAUGCCGCGUGCAGGAUGACGGCUCUAUGAGUUGUAAACUGCUUUUGUACGAGGGUAAACGCAGAUACGUGUAUCUGUCUGAAAGUAUCGUACGAAUAAGGAUCGGCUAACUCCGUGUCAGCAGCCGCGGUAAUCUGAGCGGCUGGCAAGGC